UACGGGGGGGGCAAGCGUUGUUCGGAAUUACUGGGCGUAAAGGGCUCGUAGGUGGCCAACUAAGUCAGACGUGAAAUCCCUCAGCUUAACUGGGGAACUGCGUCUGAUACUGGAUGGCUUGAGUUUGGGAGAGGGAUGCGGAAUUCCAGGUGUAGCGGUGAAAUGCGUAGAUAUCUGGAGGAACACCGGUGGCGAAGGCGGCAUCCUGGACCGGUAUUGACGCUGAGGCGCGAAAGCCAGGGGAGCAAACAGG
rnacentral:rRNA from 1 species